UGGGGAAUAUUGCACAAUGGGCGAAAGCCUGAUGCAGCGACGCCGCGUGAGGGAUGACGGCCUUCGGGUUGUAAACCUCUUUCAGCAGGGAAGAAGCGAAAGUGACGGUACCUGCAGAAGAAGCGCCGGCUAACUACGUGCCAGCAGCCGCGGUAAUACGUAGGGCGCAAGCGUUGUCCGGAAUUAUUGGGCGUAAAGAGCUCGUAGGCGGUUAGUCGCGUCUGCUGUGAAAACUCGAGGCUCAACCUCGGGCUUGCAGUGGGUACGGGCUGACUAGAGUGCGGUAGGGGUGACUGGAAUUCCUGGUGUAGCGGUGGAAUGCGCAGAUAUCAGGAGGAACACCGAUGGCGAAGGCAGGUCACUGGGCCGCAACUGACGCUGAGGAGCGAAAGCAUGGGAGCGAACAGGAUUAGAUAGCCCUGGUAGUCCAUGCCGUAAACGUUGGGCACUAGGUGUGGGGUCCAUUCCACGGAUUCCGUGCCGCAGCAAACGCAUUAAGUGCCCCGCCUGGGGAGUACGGCCGCAAGGCU
rnacentral:rRNA from 1 species